AUUCCAGCUCUAAUAGCGUAUAUUAAUGUUGUUGCAGUUAAAAAGCUCGUAGUUGGAUUUUGGAGUUUGACAAGUGGUCUGCCUAAGGUGUGUACUGCUUGUCGGCUCUUCUUUUCUGGGGACCACGCUGCUCUUUAUUGAGGGGUGCUGGGAAUCAGAUCUUUUACUUUGAAAAAAUUAGAGUGUUCAAAGCAGGCCCACGCAUUGAAUACAUUAGCAUGGAAUAAUGGAAUAGGACUUUGGUCUUAUUUUGUUGGUUUCUAAGGCCGAGGUAAUGAUUAAUAGGGAUAGUUGGGGGCGUUUAUAUUCCAUUGUCAGAGGUGAAAUUCUUGGAUUUAUGGAAGAUAAACUACUGCGAAAGCAUUCGCCAAGGAUGUUUUCAUCG
rnacentral:rRNA from 1 species